GCUGAAGUCGGACGCCUAACCGACUGCGCCACCCAGGCGCCCCUGUGUUAGAAUGUUUUUAAAUGGCAGCCCAGUGACCCAGGCUGGGUCAGCAGACUUGUUUGGUUUAGCCAACCAUGUUUUAAAUGCUUGAUGCAACAUUUUUAAGUUGGGAGAGUUCACAUAAAAAUGCAGAUUUGGGGGGCUCUCUUGGAAUAGAUGUGGCAAUACUGGACCUGCCUUUCCCACACAGCACUUAACUGCCUGAAGCUGUGACAGCUGCCUGCUUUAGAUGCACCACGUUCCACCCAGUCUGCCACUCCCCCCCCACCGCCAGCAGGUGCAGAUGUGGGCACCUGUAGCCCGGAUGACAGGGCCUGGGAUCUGGCUGACUCCUGAAGGAACCUGUGACCUCAAAAUACACGAACACCCACCCGAGGGCGAUGCUCAUCCCAUCGUUUAUUCUGAUUUUUAGCAGCUUGGUGAGAUGAGAAUUGUCUCCCAUCUUCUAAGAGGAUGCAAGGAGGUGUCCCAUGAACCCCUAGGAUCUCAGCAGGAAUUCAAACCCAAGUCGGCCUGCCUGGAAGCCUGGGCUUUUGUUCUUAGCCAGACCGUCUCCACUGCCACUGACUGCCAAGCUCUCCUUGUGUCUGAAGGACGUUGUGACUUCCUUGUUACGUCACCCACUCAGUCACAGUUGGGCUGAGAGCGGAGUGUGGCCCAGCCCCCCAGGUCCCCAGGGCAGCCCUGCCAGCCCGGCACAGGCAGGCCCGGCUUAGCCACACGCGCACCAUGAAGUACCCGCUGGUGCCACUGGUGGACGACCUCACGUUUUCUUUCCUGGUGUUCUGGCUCUGCCUGCCCGUGGGCUUGCUGUUGGUCUUGCUGAUCGUCUGGCUACACUUCUUACUUAGCCAAGAAUAACCCUGCGAAGUAAUCCUUAUCGUACAAUUGAGGAAACUGAGGCUUGGGGAGAGAAGCAACGUGCCCAGGUCACACACCUGUGAAGUACUUACGAGUGCCGGUUAUCUGGCAUCACCUCCUGCCUCUGCUGCCUACCAGCUCUGUGACUUGGGGCAAGUCCUCUCAGCCUUGGGUUCCUCAUCGACAGAAUGGAGAUAAUAAGGGCCCCUUCCAUUUGGGGCUGUGGAGAGAGCAUGUGGAGGGUAGGGGAUCCAGUACACAUGUGGCACAUAGUAGGUGCUUACAGGCUGAGAAAUUAUCCAGUCAGUGUUUGCUUUUCGUCAUGGUAGGAGGACGUAUAGGCAUGGCUUUGGAUGGCUCCUCCGAGGAGAGUCAUCUGCCUAAGGUCUCCGAGGAGAGUGCUCCUGUCUAAGGUCUAGGGCACUAAUCUCCAGCACUCCAUUCUCCUUGAAGGCCCUGCUCUAAAACCAUCCACAGCCUUCCCUGUCCUCAGACUUUCUCCGACAUCUCACACGGCCCCUUGCAAUAAGGCCUUUGGUCAUUUGCAAUGACCACAAUGUGGGGCGAGCAGUCUUCCCUCAGGGUCCCAGUCUUCUUGGAACUCUUAGAGUUACUGCGUCGGUCCUGUCCUUGUGCCAGGGUCUGGGCCUGCCAAGAAUUGAGGGACCUGUUCUCAGGACACCCUGGCCUGUGCUCUUCUAUUCUGCUAUGGAUCUUGUUAUUGGAACUCGUUUGGCCUGGCAUCCAGUGUGAAAAGCAGACAGGACUGGCUCUGAUUCCUCCUUCCCACCCCCAUCCGGCCUGGCUCAGCAGGGCAGUGCCAGGGCCCAGAAGGCAGACGGUUUGAGCAGGGAGUGCCACGUGGCCCGGGAGGACGUGCCUUCUCAAGUAGACUGGGGAGCAAGGGGAG